AGAAUUAAUAUUUUUCUUCAAUCUUCUUAUCCUUCCUUUCAAUUUGACCCCAGUCAUAUUACAACCCUUUAUUGACCUCUUGAUCCUAAGUAGGUUAGUGGUUAGAAUGGUUGAGUUCCUAUUAGUUGGCAUCCUCUCAUGAGAUCAAUUUUGUUAUUUCACUCAUUUGCCCGCAGACAAUUAUUCCUUCCAUGUAUUUGAGUGGCAAUUUUUUUCAACCUUCAUUACCUCUGUUGGCAAUAGUUUUUUUUUUUGGUUGAAUACUACACUUAAUAUUUCCAAAAAUAACUUUUGUCUGGGAUGUUCUCGACAUCGUAUUAGUUUUGGUUUGAUAGAAAGAUGGUGAAGAGCUUAACACACACACACGAGUUCUAAGAGUGUGCUUUGAUAGACAAACUUUGAUAGCAUUGUUGAUCUCUGGUGAAUGCUUUGUUUGAUGUGCCUGAAUAUUUUUGCUUAAUUCGUGUAAAAGGAUUUUCACUUGGGACAGGUAGCAAUACUCUUUCUUCGCUUGAAUUUCUAGGGACUAGCAACACGCUAGUUGGGGGGUGUGAUAGAGCGAAUAAGAUUGCAUUUUUAAUGCUGAUUGCUCAUGAUUAUUUUCUAAUAUACAAGUAUAUUUGGGAUUAAUAAUGAUAUUUUUAUAUAGUUGAAUGAAGGUCUAACCUAAUUGUGGUGUUUACAAUUUUAUUGUAGAAAUGGAGCCCAAAAAUAACAAAGUUCAAGGCCCAUAAGAGAGGACUCAAUUCAAGUGGACUUAACCCAGCCCAAUCAAAAUAAAAUAGAUUGGAAAGAUUAAUGAAGGGAGCAAAAUCUGUGGAAGACGUCUCUUGCUGUGAAGAAAUCCCGAAUUGGAAACACAUCUGUACUGCCCUUCAUAUUUUCACCAUAUCUCCCUCAUACGAUGUCGUAUUGAGUUGAUUCAAGAGGCCUUGGAAAUCUAAUUUAACGUUCUACAAUUUCUACUGAAAUAGAGAUUUUGAAAUUCUCACGUUUUCUAAGUGAA
rnacentral:lncRNA from 1 species